AAAAUAAUCCUACCCUUUGUGAAUUUUGUUUGUUUGAAUAAUUUUUUUUUUAAAAAAUUAUUGGAGUCUUUCCCUUUAGAGUUUGCUUUUGAGUUUGUAAAAGAAUUCGAAAACAUCUAAAGGGGAUGGUCAGUAAUUUUUUUUGAAAAAAGACAUUUUUUAAAAUUAAACUUUUUGUAUUCAUUUGUCUAAAAAUUAUUUUUAUAAUAUAAAAACAACUUUUGACAGUGGAUCCUUGGUUCUCGCAACGAUGAAGAACGCAGCAAAAUGCGAUAAGUAGUGUGAAUUGCAGAAUACGUGAAUCAUCGAAUCUUUGAACGCAUAUUGCACUUUUUUAGUUUACUAAAAAAGUAUGUCUGUUUGAGUAUCAGUAAAAUAUUCUCAUAAAAAUCAUUGUGUAUUUUUAUGGUUAUGAGUGUUUUACAACGAUACAAGUUGUUUCACUUUAAAUUUUUUUUUAAUAUUGAAAUUUUUCUAAUUUUAAUAAUUAAAAUUGGAUAAAAUUUUCCCGUCAAAAGGAAUAACCUAAACAAUUUUAAAUGAUUAAUUUUAGCAAAAUUUUCGUAAAAAAGGAAAAUUUUUAUUAAAAUAACUUGAUCUCAAAUCAGAUAAGAGUACCCGCUGAACUUAAGCAUAUCAAUAAGCGGAGGAAAAGAAACUAACAAGGAUUCCCUUAGUAACGGCGAGUGAAGCGGGAAGAGCUCAAAUUUGAAAUCUUCAAGGUUUUACCUUGACGAAUUGUAGUUUAAAGAAGUGUUUUCUGCUGAAGUUUUGGUAAAAGUUCUUUGGAAUAGGACAUCAUAGAGGGUGAGGAUCCCGUAUUUGACCAUUAUUUUCAGCUUUGUGAUACACUUUCAAAGAGUCGGAUUGUUUGGGAAUGCAGUCCAAAAUGGGUGGUAAAUUUCAUCUAAAGCUAAAUAUUGGCGAGAGACCGAUAGCGAACAAGUACCGUGAGGGAAAGAUGAAAAGAACUUUGAAAAGAGAGUUAAACAGUACGUGAAAUUGUCAAAAGGGAAGCGUUUGACACCAGUGUUGUUUUCUCGAAAAUCAAUUAAAAAUGGCUCGAUUUUGUAUUGCUGAGACCUUAAAAGCUCACUGUACACUUUUCGUGUCUUUUUUAAUGCACUUUUCGUUUAACAAGUCAACAUCAGUUUCUUUUGUUGUAAAAGGGUCAUUGGAAGGUGGCUUUCUUUUCGGAGAAAGUGUUUAUAGCCUUUGGCCUCUGCAAUCGGAGAGACUGAGGUCUGCAGCGUAGACUCUUCGGGGUUAGAUACAUUUGUGCUAAGUUAUAGCUUUUUAUAGACAACUUGUUGACUAUAAUUAGUCUUGUAGCUUACUCGCUUAUGCUAUUUUACCUACGCUUAGGAUG
rnacentral:misc_RNA from 1 species